GCCCCUGUAGCUCAGAAUGGAUAGAGCAGGAACCUCCUAAGUUCAAGGUCGCGCGUUCGAAUCGCGCCAGGGGCAUCA
rnacentral:tRNA from 1 species